UACGAAGGGGGCUAGCGUUGCUCGGAAUCACUGGGCGUAAAGCGCACGUAGGCGGACUCUUAAGUCAGGGGUGAAAUCCUGGAGCUCAACUCCAGAACUGCCUUUGAUACUGGGAGCUCGAGUCCGGGAGAGGUGAGUGGAACUGCGAGUGUAGAGGUGAAAUUCGUAGAUAUUCGCAAGAACACCAGUGGCGAAGGCGGCUCACUGGCCCGGUACUGACGCUGAGGUGCGAAAGCGUGGGGAGCAA
rnacentral:rRNA from 1 species